rnacentral:rRNA from 1 species
CUCUUUUUGAUUAUAUUUAAAGUAUGGCCUGCCCAAUGAUGAGAAUUGAAUGGCCGCGGUAAUUUGACCGUGCAAAGGUAGCAUAAUCAUUAGUCUUUUAAUUGUUGGCUGGAAUGAAUGGCUUGACGAGAUAUUUACUGUCUUUUUAUAUUAAUCUUAGAAUUUAAUUAUUUAGUGAUAAGGCUAAAAUGUUAUUAUGGGACGAGAAGACCCUAUAGAAUUUUAUUAUUAUAUUUUAUUGUUGUUUAUAAUUAUAAAUAGGUUAUAAUAAUUAUAUUGGGGUGAUAGGGAUAUAUAAAUAACUUUCCUUUAAGUAUACAUAUUGAUAUAUAUAUAUAUAUGAUCCUUUUUUUUGAUUAUAAGAUUUAAUUACCUUAGGGAUAACAGCGUAAUUUUUUUUGAGAGUUCAUAUUGACAAUAAAGAUUGCGACCUCGAUGUUGAAUUAGGGUAAGAAUUAGGUGAAGAAGCUUAAUUUUCUAGGUCUGUUCGACCKUUAA